GUCAAGUCAUAUAACUAGUAUUCUCCAUUUCCAUCUUAACCAAGUCAUCUUCAGGUUAUUAUCUGGUCGCUCAUUUAGAUUAGCUACUGGAUAUUUAGAAGACAAUCAAAUAACAAUCCUGGGCAUUCUCAUUUACUAUGUGUGAAUUAUCCUAUUGAGUAAUUGUGUAACCUGUUAAGGAACUUAUAUAAGUAUACAUAAAGAUUUCAUUUAGGUCUGGCUGCUACAACAAAGUACCACGGUGUGAGUGGCUUAUAAGGAGCAGAAAUUGAUUUUUGACAUUUUUGGAGGCUUGAAGUUUGAGAUCGGGGUGCCAGCAAGAUGACGUUCCCAUGAGGGUCCUCUACUGGGUUGCAGACUGCAGACUUUUCUCGUGGUAUACUCAUAGGCAGAAAGAGAGACAGUUAGCUCUUAGAUCUCUUCUGAUAAGGACACUAAUCUCAUACAUGAGCAUUCUUCCCUUAUCACCUAAUUACCUUUCAAAGGCUCCAACUCCAAAUACCAUUAGACUGGAAAUCAGGAUUUCAAUGUAGGGAUUUUGAGGGGACACAGACAUGAGUUCUACCAUAUACAUACACAUGUAUAAAGAUCUAUGCAUGUAUUUGAUCUUUAUGAUUCACAGUUUCCAUAUUCAUGUAUUUACACAAAAUAAAUACUGGUGGUAAUUUCCCAAUUAUUCACAGAUGUGCAGAAUGACAAAAAUUGAAUUUCCUAAGCACAUAUUCUCAGCUAAGUUAAACAAAGUUAUGUUCACCAUCUUGCUUCACCUCUCAUUCUGUAAACAGGUGUUCUCAUAUAUCUCAUACUGUGUUCUUUGCAUUUUGUGCUGAUUUUUUGCUUAUUUCGUGGUUUAAUGUGGCCCUC
rnacentral:lncRNA from 1 species